UUAAGCAGAAGUCAUUUGCCUCUGUCAUGAAUUCCAAGACUACAAAGUUUUAAGAGAUGCUGGGAUAGCAAAUGAGGCUUGAAUUCUGUGUUGACAAGCCCACACACCUCAUUUCAUUUAGCAUCCAAGAGAUAAACAAACACCACCUCUUCUACUCCAGGACUGGCAUCUCUGGGCUUUUCUGCCAUAAUCCCGAAUCAGGCCAACUCUCCUUCCUCUAGGAUUCGCGUGGUGGGAUGCCAGGCAGCAACACCCUUAGAGCAGGAAGUCUGACUGUAGACCCAGCUACACCCCAACCAGUGAGGGUCUGCAUUGGGCACUUGGGCCUCCUCGUGAGGCGGGGGUCCAGGGUUCUGGUGCGAUGCCCAAGGCAGGGCCACUUCUCAGCCCUAGCUCUGGGCCAGCACAGUGCCCCGGUUUGGCUGCACCAACUCACAAGCUCUUAGCUGGGGUUCUGGCAGGUGGGGCUCGGCUAGAAACAGAUUAGACAGUGUUGCUAAUUCUUCAGCAAAGUCCUGGAAUACAUGGAAAGAAAGAUGAGGGAAAAGGCAGCAUGUAAUAAUUCUCAAUGGCUCAUCCUUUUUCACUAAAGACCACAACCUGGCUGGCUACAUUAUUUUUUCUCAACUGCCCUCCACACUGAAAUGGACAUGAAACCUUGUCUGUUUGUUAGUACUCUGGGAGGCUGAAGUUAUGGCAGGGAGCGAACUCUGAUGGAGGCACAGGCUUGACCAGUUUUUGAGUACUGCUGAGUGCAUCUACUUCAUCUUGAAAUUAUUAUUCCCAUUAAAAUCCAGGUUAUUCUAAUUUUAAAAACCCAUAUAA
rnacentral:antisense_RNA from 1 species